CCUGUCCAUGCCAUUGUCCAGCUUGCUUUCCAUUCCUUCCAUCAUUGACUUCUUUACACGAAUACACUGUGAGUAGACUGGGGACGAACUAUAACAACAAAAAAUGAAUGCAACCAAUUUUGGGGAAAGUUAAUGAGUGCAAUGCAAUUCGACGUACACUUGGUAAUCGUUGAUAAAAAUUGAGUUUCUUACAUUCCAAAAAAAUUUCGUUUUAACUGAGGUUAUAUAUAUUGCUUUAACGUAUAUACCCAAGUCUCUGUGUUAUAUUUAACAAUUAUACCAUGAUAGUUUUGUUUGUGGAAACACCACGUAAAUUUAUUACUGCAAAG